AACUCGCCUGCAUGAAGUCGGAAUUGCUAGUAAUCGCGGAUCAGCAUGCCGCGGUGAAUACGUUCCCGGGCCUUGUACACACCGCCCGUCACACCAUGAGAGUCGGGAACACCCGAAGUCCGUAGUCUAACCGCAAGGAGGGCGCGGCCGAAGGUGGGUUCGAUAAUUGGGGUGAAGUCGUAACAAGGUAUC
rnacentral:rRNA from 1 species